rnacentral:rRNA from 1 species
GGGCAAACGCUGGCGGCAUGCCUAACACAUGCAAGUCGAACGGACAGAACAGGGAAGCUUUUCGGAGUGGAACUGGAAAGUUAGUGGCGGAUGGGUGAGUAACGCGUGGACAACCUACCUUGUAAAGGGGAAUAACCUCGAGAAAUCGAAGCUAAUACCCCAUAAUAACCUUGCUUCGCAUGAAGUAAGGAGGAAAGGCGGCCUUAGCGCUGUCGAUACAAGAUGGGUCCGCGUCUGAUUAGCUAGUUGGUGAGGUAAAGGCUCACCAAGGCGACGAUCAGUAGCCGGCCUGAGAGGGUGAACGGCCACAUUGGGACUGAGACACGGCCCAAACUCCUACGGGAGGCAGCAGUGGGGAAUCUUCCGCAAUGGGCGAAAGCCUGACGGAGCAAUGCCGCGUGAGUGAAGAAGGCCUUCGGGUUGUAAAACUCUGUCCUUAUCGAAGAGAGAGUGUUGUAGUAACUGACAAUACUAGGACGGUAGAUGAGGAGGAAGCCCCGGCUAACUAUGUG